rnacentral:rRNA from 1 species
GACGAACGCUGGCGGCGUGCUUAACACAUGCAAGUCGAACGGAAAGGCCCUGCUUUUGUGGGGUGCUCGAGUGGCGAACGGGUGAGUAACACGUGAGUAACCUGCCCUUGACUUUGGGAGAACUUCAGGAAACUGGGGCUCAUACCGGCUAGGAGCUCCCGCUGCAUGGUGGGGGUUGGAAAGUUUCGGCGGUUGGGGAUGGACUCGCGGCCUAUCAGCUUGUUGGUGGGGUAGUGUCUGACCAAGGCAUUGACGGGUAGCCGGCCUGAGCGGGUGACAGGCCACAUUGGGACGGAGAUGAGGCCCAGACUACUCCGGGACGCAGGGGUGCGGAAUAUUGCACAAUGGGCGGAAGCCUGGUCCAGUAAAGCCGCGUGCGGGAUGACGGCAAUCGGGUUGUGAACCACAUUUGCCUGUCACGAAGCGUGAGUGACGGUAAUGGGUAAAGAAGCACCGGCUAACUACGUG